rnacentral:rRNA from 1 species
UACGGGGGGUGCGAGCGUUGUCCGGAAUCACUGGGCGUAAAGGGCGCGUAGGUGGCAUGAUAAGGGUGUGGUGAAAGCCCGGGGCUCAACCUCGGAACGGCAUUCGAUACGGGACGGCUGGAGACCGGGAGAGGAGAGUGGAAUAGCCAGUGUAGAGGUGAAAUUCGUAGAUAUUGGCUGGAACACCGGUGGCGAAAGCGGCUCUCUGGCCCGGUUCUGACGCUGAGGCGCGAAAGCGUGGGGAGCAAACAGG